AUUGAACGCUGGCGGCAUGCCUUACACAUGCAAGUCGAACGGCAGCACGGGAGCUUGCUCCUGGUGGCGAGUGGCGAACGGGUGAGUAAUACAUCGGAACGUACCCUGAAGUGGGGGAUAACGUAGCGAAAGUUACGCUAAUACCGCAUAUUCUGUGAGCAGGAAAGAGGGGGAUCGCAAGACCUCUUGCUUUAGGAGCGGCCGAUGUCGGAUUAGCUAGUUGGUGAGGUAAAGGCUCACCAAGGCGACGAUCCGUAGCGGGUCUGAGAGGAUGAUCCGCCACACUGGGACUGAGACACGGCCCAGACUCCUACGGGAGGCAGCAGUGGGGAAUUUUGGACAAUGGGCGCAAGCCUGAUCCAGCCAUGCCGCGUGA
rnacentral:rRNA from 1 species